UGCCAGCAGCCGCGGUAAUACGGAGGGGGCAAGCGUUGUUCGGAAUUACUGGGCGUAAAGGGUGCGCAGGCGGCGUCGCCAGUCAGGUGUGAAAUCCCCGGGCUCAACCCGGGAACUGCACUUGAUACUGCGAUGCUAGAGUUCGGAAGAGGGUAGUGGAAUUCCCAGUGUAGAGGUGAAAUUCGUAGAUAUUGGGAAGAACACCAAUUGCGAAGGCGGCUAACUGGCUCGGUACUGACGCUGAGAUGCGAAAGCGUGGGGAGCAAACAGGAUUAGAUA
rnacentral:rRNA from 1 species